rnacentral:tRNA from 1 species
GCAGGUAUAGCUCAGUGGUAGAGCAUGUGCUUAGCAUGCAUGAGGUCCUGGAUUCAAUCCCCAGUACCUCCA